rnacentral:tRNA from 1 species
AGCAGCGUGGCUCAGUGGAAAGAGCAUGGGCUUGGGAGUCAGAGGUCAUGGGUUCGAAUCCCAGCUCCGCCA